UCCAAGUUAUGAUGAUUUGUGGUUUCUGUUCUCUAUAUUCUUUUUAAUAAAUUUACCUAUUAUUACACCUUGACCGUCUGAAUUGGAUUAAAUUUUGCAUCAGUUUAUGGAGGCACCGCUGGGAUACUGAUCGAUCCUUGAAGUAUAUUUGAUGCAUCGCAAGGAAAGAUAAAGAGAGGAUUAAACCUUUGAAUGUUUCAGAUCCUAUACAUCCUCCAGUAUUCCAGUAUCCUCUUCGGAGAGAAACAGAGUGAGUUGCACAGGAAAUUGUGAACCAGCUUCAGGAAUCAGGGAUUUUGGUAAGGUGUACUUCCUCAAUGAACUUACCUAUGCAGCUUGUGAAAAAAAAAGAAAAAAAAAAAAAACCAGAUGGGUAGUAUAGGUUAACUAUAGACUACACCGCAUUAAAUGCUGUGACUCCUAAAAUAACUCCUAUUGUUGCUAAUCCGUCAACCAUUCUUAAUGACAUUUCUCCAAACCAUCGCUAUUUUAGUGCAGUAGACAUAACCAAUGGUUUUUGGUCUUGUCCUAUCAGAGAAGAAGUACAAUACAGAUUUGCCUUUCAAUAUUGUGACGACAUUCUUCUCACAUCUCAAGACAAAGCACAACACUUGAGUGUACUCACUCGGUUGUUGAAAAUACUCCAAGAGGCGGGUUUCCUCUUAAACAAACAAAAGGUGCAAUUGUUUCAAUCGGAAGUUACAUUUUUAAGGACAAAGUAUAGGUUGUGAGGGAAAAAGACCUCUUCCAGACCGGGUCAUAGCCAUCAUUCAAUUGAAUAAGCCAACCACAGUUACUGGUUUAAGAUCAUUAAUGGGGCUAUUUAAUUUUAAUCAGAUGUAUAUCCCAGAUUUUUCUGAUUUGGCUAAACCUCUAACAGAGGCUUUUAAAGGCGGCCUUCCGGGUGCUUCGCCUUUGGAGUGAACAGCAGACAUGGCUGAGUCCUUUACUCUCCUCUCCCGCGUUACAUCACCCCGACAUGACAAAGGCAUUCCAUGUAUGGACACAUGCUGGCCCAAGUGCUUAUAACUGGGUUAUAACUGGAUUUUAUUUUGUUACCUUCUGAUCGUGGGUACAAAUAUGUACUAGUUUUUGUUUGUAAAUUUUCCAGAUGCUCUGAAAGGGUAUAUUGGAUUUUCAGUCCCUCUCAUUGCACCAUGGUUCGGGAAUGAUAGAUUUUCA